AGCUUUGCGCAGUGGCAUUAUCGUAGCUGAUGAGGAACAUCCGAGGCGCGAUUAUUGCUGAUUGAAAACUUAUACCAAUACCCCCCCAGGUGUCCUGAGAUAUGGUCAGCUGAGCAAUUUUUUUUUGGUCCUUUAUUGGA